GACGAACGCUGGCGGCGUGCUUAACACAUGCAAGUCGAACGGAAAGGCCCUGCUUUUGUGGGGUGCUCGAGUGGCGAACGGGUGAGUAACACGUGAGUAACCUGCCCUUGACUUUGGGAUAACUUCAGGAAACUGGGGCUAAUACCGGAUAGGAGCUCCUGCUGCAUGGUGGGGGUUGGAAAGUUUCGGCGGUUGGGGAUGGACUCGCGGCUUAUCAGCUUGUUGGUGGGGUAGUGGCUUACCAAGGCUUUGACGGGUAGCCGGCCUGAGAGGGUGACCGGCCACAUUGGGACUGAGAUACGGCCCAGACUCCUACGGGAGGCAGCAGUGGGGAAUAUUGCACAAGGGGCGGAAGCCUGAUGCAGCAACGCCGCGUGCGGGAUGACGGCCUUCGGGUUAUAAACCGCUUUCGCCUGUGACGAAGCGUGAGUGACGGUAAUGGGUAAAGAAGCACCGGCUAACUACGUG
rnacentral:rRNA from 1 species